rnacentral:lncRNA from 1 species
UCAUGCAUGACAUAUGCUCUGAACAACGAAGUAGAAGGUGUCAACAUGCCUAUAAUCUAGCCCACAAUAGGCUGUCCAAGCUAGCUGGCCAAGGUGUGACAAGCUGCUGACCCACCGGCUUUGGUGUUCCAAACUGCCUAGUCAGGCGUUGAGCGGCCAGAAAUAGAGGCCAGGGCCAGGGGCCCCUUAGCUUGCCUAUAAAAGGCACCCCCA